AGAUGUGACGGCGAUCUGGCUGCGACAUCUGUCACCCCAUUGAUCGCCAGGGUUGAUUCGGCUAAUCUGGCUGGCUAGGCGGGCGUCCCCUUCCUCCCUCACUGCUCCAUGUGCGUCCCUCCCGAAGCUGCAUGCUCGGUCGAAGAGGACGGCCUUCCCCGAAUAGAGACGGACCGGUCUUUGGUCGAGGGUAUACAAGUAGCUGCGCUCCCCUGCUAGAACCUCCAAACAAGCUCUCAAGGUGAGAAAAUGUACCUAAGAUGCAAGAAAUUCAAGAACUUCAAAUGUUCUUCUUAUGAAUGUGUCACCUUU
ensembl:misc_RNA 7SK 7SK RNA